rnacentral:rRNA from 1 species
UACGUAGGGUGCGAGCGUUGUCCGGAAUUAUUGGGCGUAAAGAGCUUGUAGGCGGUUUGUCGCGUCUGCCGUGAAAAUUCGAGGCUCAACCUCGAACUUGCGGUGGGUACGGGCAGACUAGAGUGUGGUAGGGGAGACUGGAAGUUCCUGGUGUAGCGGUGAAAUGCGCAGAUAUCAGGAGGAACACCGAUGGCGAAGGCAGGUCUCUGGGCCACUACUGACGCUGAGAAGCGAAAGCAUGGGGAGCGAACAGG